UACGUAGGGUGCGAGCGUUAAUCGGAAUUACUGGGCGUAAAGCGUGCGCAGGCGGUGAUGUAAGUCAGAUGUGAAAUCCCCGGGCUCAACCUGGGAAUUGCAUUUGUGACUGCACGGCUAGAGUGUGUCAGAGGGGGGUAGAAUUCCACGUGUAGCAGUGAAAUGCGUAGAGAUGUGGAGGAAUACCGAUGGCGAAGGCAGCCCCCUGGGAUAACACUGACGCUCAUGCACGAAAGCGUGGGGAGCAAACAGG
rnacentral:rRNA from 1 species